AACGAACGCUGGCGGCAUGCCUAACACAUGCAAGUCGAACGAGACCUUCGGGUCUAGUGGCGCACGGGUGCGUAACGCGUGGGAACCUGCCCUUAGGUUCGGAAUAACUCCCCGAAAGGGGUGCUAAUACCGGAUAAUGUCUUCGGACCAAAGAUUUAUCGCCUUUGGAUGGGCCCGCGUUGGAUUAGCUAGUUGGUAGGGUAAAAGCCUACCAAGGCGACGAUCCAUAGCUGGUCUGAGAGGAUGAUCAGCCACACUGGGACUGAAACACGGCCCAGACUCCUACGGGAGGCAGCAGUGGGGAAUAUUGGACAAUGGGCGAAAGCCUGAUCCAGCAAUGCCGCGUGAGUGAUGAAGGCCUUAGGGUUGUAAAGCUCUUUUACCCGGGAUGAUAAUGACAGUACCGGGAGAAUAAGCGCCGGCUAACUCCGUG
rnacentral:rRNA from 1 species